GCAGUAGCAAUACUGAGUGGCAAACGGGUGAGUAUAAUGUGGGAAUCUGCCUUUUGGUUCGGAAUAACACGAGGAAACUUGUGCUAAUACCGGAUAAGCCCUUACGGGGAAAGUUUUAAUGCCAAAAGAUGAGCCCGCACUUGAUUAGCUAGUUGGUAAGGUAAUGGCUUACCAAGGCAACGAUCAAUAGCUGUUCUUAGAGGAAGACCAGCCACAUUGGGACUGAGACACGGCCCAAACUCCUACGGGAAGCAGCAGUGGGGAAUCUUGCACAAUGGGGGAAACCCUGAUGCAGCGAUGCCGCGUGAGUGAAGAAGGCCCUUGGGUUGUAAAACUCUUUCGUCGGGGAAGAAAAUGACUGUACCCGAAUAAGAAGGUCCGGCUAACUUCGUGCCAGCAGCCGCGGUAAUACGAAGGGACCUAGCGUAGUUCGGAAUUACUGGGCUUAAAGAGUUCGUAGGUGGUUAAAAAAGUUGAUGGUGAAAUCCCAAGGCUCAACCUUGGAACUGCCAUCAAAACUUUUUAGCUAGAGUGUGAUAGAGGAAAGUGGAAUUUCUAGUGUAGAGGUGAAAUUCGUAGAUAUUAGAAAGAACAUCAAAAGCGAAGGCAACUUUCUGGAUCAUUACUGACACUGAGGAACGAAAGCAUGGGUAGCGAAGAGGAUUAGAUACCCUCGUAGUCCAUGCCGUAAACGAUGUGUGCUAGACGUUGGAAACUUAGUUUUCAGUGUCGCAGCGAAAGCAUUAAGCACACCGCCUGGGGAGUACGACCGCAAGGUUAAAACUCAAAUGAAUUGACGGGGACCCGCACAAGUAGUGGAG
rnacentral:rRNA from 1 species